UACGUAGGGUGCGAGCGUUAAUCGGAAUUACUGGGCGUAAAGCGUGCGCAGGCGGUUCGUCGUGUCUGAUGUGAAAGCCCCGGGCUCAACCUGGGAAUGGCAUUGGAAACUGGCGGACUAGAGUGUGGCAGAGGGGGGUGGAAUUCCGCGUGUAGCAGUGAAAUGCGUAGAGAUGCGGAGGAACACCGAUGGCGAAGGCGGGUCUCUGGGCCGAUAUUGACGCUGAGGAGCGAAAGCGUGGGGAGCGAACAGG
rnacentral:rRNA from 1 species